rnacentral:rRNA from 1 species
AGGAGGCAGCAGUGGGGAAUAUUGGACAAUGGGGGAAACCCUGAUCCAGCGACGCCGCGUGGGUGAAGAAGGCCUGCGGGUUGUAAAGCCCUUUCGGUAGGGACGAAAACUCUUGCUCUAACAGGGCAGGAGCUUGACUUAACCUACAUAAGAAGCACCGGCUAACUCUGUGCCAGCAGCCGCGGUAAUACAGAGGGUGCGAGCGUUAAUCGGAAUUACUGGGCGUAAAGCGCACGUAGGCGGCUUUGUAAGUCGGAUGUGAAAUCCCCGGGCUCAACCUGGGAACUGCACCCGAAACUACAUUGCUAGAGUAUGGGAGAGGGAGGCGGAAUUUCCGGUGUAGCAGUGAAAUGCGUAGAUAUCGGAAGGAACAUCAGUGGCGAAGGCGGCCUCCUGGACCAAUACUGACGCUCAGGUGCGAAAGCGUGGGGAGCAAACAGGAUUAGAUACCCUGGUAGC